GACGAACGCUGGCGGCGUGCUUAACACAUGCAAGUCGAACGGAAAGGCGCCUUCGGGGGUCCUCGAGUGGCUAACGGGUGAGUAACACGAGAGUAACCUGCCCUUGACUUCGGGAUAACUUCAGGAAGCGGGGGCUAAUACCGGCUCGGAAUCCUUUCUGCAUGGGGUGGGUUGGAAAGUUUCGGCGGUUUUGGGUGGACUCGCGGUCUAUCUGCUUGUUGGUUUGGUAGUGGCUUACGAAGGCGUUGACGGGUAGCUGGCCUGUGACGGCGACCGGCCACAUUGGGACUGAGGGGCGGCACAGACUCCUACGGGAGGAAGCAGAGGAGAAUGUUGCACAAUGAGCGGGAGGCUGAUGCAGCAACGCGGCGUGCGGGAUGACAGCCUUCGGGUUGUGAACCGCUUUCAGCAGGGGCGAAGCUUGUGGUGACGGUACCUGCAGAGGAAGCAACGGCUAACUACGUG
rnacentral:rRNA from 1 species